UGAAUUUUUUAUUGUGAUUAAAAAAGUUAAUCAGCUAU
rnacentral:tRNA from 1 species